GACGGUAGGGGGCCAGCGUUGCUCGGAAUUACUGGGUGUAAAGGGUUCGUAGGCGGUGUGGCAAGUCGGGGAGUGAAAUCUCUGGGCUCAACCCAGAGUCUGCUUCCGAAACUGGCUGUGCUUGAGUGUGGGAGAGGCGCGUGGAAUUGCAGGUGUAGCGGUGAAAUGCGUAGAUAUCUGCAGGAACACCCGUGGCGAAAGCGGCGCCGCUGGACCACUACUGACGCUGAGGAACGGAAAGCUAGGGGAGCAAACAGG
rnacentral:rRNA from 1 species